AGCAACCUUGCCCCACAUACACUCUCAAAUUUUAUGGGGCAGAAUAGAUUCCACCCUGAGGCUACCAAGGAAGCUGGUGAAAACACUCGCUGAGCCUGUUCAUGUGGAUCUGUCUACAGGACUUCAGUAAAGUCAUCAAUACAGUUUCCCCACAGGCACUGUCCCUGGAGAAACUGGCUGCCCUAUGGCUUAAGACCAGUGCACUCUUAACUGAGUUAAAAACCCCUGGCCCAGAGAGGGCUGGUGGAUGGUGCUGCAUCCUGUUGGUGGCCAGUCACAGUUUCUGAGAGCUCGGUGGUUGGGGGCCAGUUGUGUUUUAAUAUCUUUAUCAACUACCUGUGUGAGUGCCCCUUCAAUCAGCUUGCAGAUGACAUUAAGUUGGGUGGGAGUGUUGACCUGCUAUUGUGUAGGAAGGCCCCGCAGAGGGAUAUGGACUGAAACUGAGAACAAUACUAUGAGGUUCAACAAGGCAAGUGUGGGGUCUGCACUGGAGUCACAACAGCCCCGGGCAGCCCUACAGAUUUCAGGCAGAGUGGCUGAAAAACUGCCUAGGGGGAAAGGACCUGUGGGUGCUUGUUGACAGAGUUGAACAUGAUCCACUAUAUGCCCAGGUGGCUUAAAAGGUCAGCAGCAUCCUGGUUUGUAUUAAAAAUUAUGUGUCUAGCAGGACUAGGAAAGGGAUUGUCACUCUGUACCCAGUACUGUUGAGGUCACACCUUGAAUCCAGUUUACAGCCUCGCAUGACAAGGAAGACAUUGAAGUGGUGAAGUGUGUUCAGAGUAGAACAACUGAGCUGGUGAAGGGUCUGGAGCACAAGUCCUGUGAGGAGUGGCUGAGGGAACUGGGAUUGUUGAGUCUAGAGAAAAGGAGACUGACAUGGAAUUGUAUCACUCUCUAAAACUGCCUGAAACGAGGGUGUAGUGAGGUGAAGGCAGUCUCUACUCUUGAGUUGGAAGAAACUAGAUGAGAGAUAAUGUACCCAAGUUGCCACAGGGAAGUUUUAAAUUGGAUAUCAGGAAAAAUUCCUUCUCAAGCAAUGGAAUAGUCUUCCCAGGUAGGUGUCUGAGUCAUCCCUGGAGGUAUUUAAAAGACAUGGUGAUUAGGAACAUGGUUUAGUGGUGAACUUGGUAGCGCUGGCAAAAUAGCUGAACAUAACAAUCUUGAAGGUUUUUCUAACCUGAAUAAUUCUAUGUUGUAUAUAUAUAUAGGUGGAUAUUUCUGAGCAACACAAGAAGGGUUGGGGCUUAGAGUACUGCUGAAUUAUCUGAUGCACCAAGAAUGAAUUGUAACAUUGAAAUUGUAUUUACAUGUUGCUGAAAGCAUUGAGAAAAGACAAUAUUUAUAAAUAGUUGAUUAUACAACCAUGAAAUCUAGAGACAGAAAAAGUAAUAAGAAUAUACAUAGUCCACAUUCUACUACUAUAGAAUUUCUUUUUCCUUUGGCAGAUAUGGCUGACUAGCCCUCUUUUCCCAAAACCUAAUAAGCAUUGCAUUCAGCUAGCAUUUGAGGUCUAAACCAAGUAAUAAAAAUAUACAUUUGAGAUGAGUUUUUAGAAUUAAAUUAAGUGUCCCUAUCUUACCCACUAUACACAAGUACACUUACAAUUGAUAUUGUUUUGCAUUGUCUCUGAAUUACAUGAAUUCUGUAGUUCUGUGGUAUAGUGAUUUUUAUUGUAAAUGGUUAUUGAAUUUAUUAUCCAGAGGAUUCUAAGGCAAUGGGCUGUAUGUGUCUGAGAUGACAGCUUUCUUUAGUUAGGGCUGCUAGUACCUGUUGUUUUACUGAGUUUCAUGCCAGUUUAAUCAGGAGAAUGAAGUAGACAGAGGUACAAUAUUCAUUAUGGAUUAAAAAACCCACACAAAGCCAAGAGUGAAUCGGAGUGAUGCUGAUAUCAUUAUUUUACUGGAUGGAAAAGAGGCCUUAAGAAUGAUGAAGACAAAAAGAACAGUCAGACAUCUAAUGCAUUCAUAUACAUUUGCUGAUAUUUGUUGUUAAAUCCUGUAAAGGACAUCAGGUGUCAUUGUGCUGGAGGCACGAGACCUGCCUGAGCAUAUUUAAAUUCUGACAGAUUUUAGAUUUUUUUUCAUUGACAUAAAAUGUAAAUGAUUUUGUAUCUGAGGUUGUAAUUUUUAAUGAAUAGGAGGAACAAGAAUUUUGUAUGUGUUGCUGAUUUUGCAAGAAUAGUAAUUUUUAAAAAUUCACAAGUCUAUAUAUCUUCCAUUUACACACACAAUUAUUUAAUCUGCCGAAAAAUAGUACAUAGUCAAAUACAUUGUGAUAUAGGAAAAAAAGCAAAAUUGUAACCUUUUACAAUAGUAAUCCUUCUACAAAAAAAUGCAACUGUAAUAGCCAUUGUGAGUAGACGUUUAAUACUGCAGAUAUUUCUGGCCUGGCAGAUAUUUUUGAGUGCUCACCUUUCUAAUCAUACCACUGAACUAACAUCAUGGAUUGCCAGAAGAUCAAAGAUCUCUCACUAAAGGUUAACACCUGAAAUCCAGUUUUGACAAGGCAUUGUGAUGCCUCAUUCUGUCUGAUCCCUCUUUCCCAUCUCUCAUCCCAGGAGACCUCUCAGCUGUGCAAGCCAUUGUAGUGUACUGGAGCCAAAGAAAUUCCUGCAGGUUAAAAUAGAUUAUCUGUUAGUCCUGUCUUGUGCUAUUCUGUCUUGCAUUCCUUCAGUUUUUUGUGCCCUAGGAGGUCUAUUAGUAUUGUUAUUUGCAUUCAGGUGAGAAAAACUGUUGGUCUGCUUUUUGCAGUUUAACUUUCAGUAAUGGAGUACACAUGCAUGAGAACUUAGAACCUAUUUAAAUUGUAGUGAAAGAAAAAGAAUAUUAUGUAUGAAUUAAAUCUUUAAAAAUCUGUAUUACUAGUUUUCUCUUUUCUUGUGUAGGGCAAAAGCAAAUUUAAUUUUGUAAGUGGAGCCUUAGAAUUUUUUUUAAAUAACAGGGUUCUUGUACUUAUCUUCCUGCUGAAGUUCAUUAUCUUUCCUGCAAAAGACUGGAAGAAAGCCAUUCACAUUAGAUAAGAAGGCAUGAUAGCUUAAGCCAAGAACAGUUUUGCACUGAGAACUAUGAAUAAUGUGGUAGCAUUAUCUACAGGUCAUUCUGUAAUUUCUUAUAAUCUUCUCCUUCCCACUAACAGCUACAGGAACCAAUGCUGGUUUUAGUGCCUUCUGAAUCUCAAUUUGUCUUCUGAUGUGUGAUAUGACAGCUUAGAGGUGGGGAAAAAUCCUUGCUUUGGGAUUUGAUGUCUAGUGGACCUAGGAAAACUAGAGUAUCUGCUAGAGCAGACUCUCAAAUCCUUUAGCAGAGCGCUUUUAACAGGCCUUUACUGCUCAUUCAGCAUUGAAUAAUCUUGUUUUUCCACCCACUUGAAUCUUUAUCACUCCAUGUAGCAGUAGAUUUUGGAGAAACAUUAUAUGUGCUGGACAAUGCCCUGUGAUACCACAGUAGCUGUAGAGAAGGAGAAAAUGAGGUCUUUACACUUUAGGUUGAGAUAUUGCAUGCUUUUUCUCUUCACUAUAAACUUGGCUAUUUAACAGAUGCAUGGCCUGUAUCUAGCAAAUAUGAAUCAGACAUACUUGGCCUGAGGAAUGGUGAAGAUGGUCACAAAAAAAAAAAGUGCUUUUAUCUAUGUAUCUCAUUCUUUGCAGAGGACUUUCUUAUGCCUAAGAAAGCAUCAAACCUUGAGAAUGUUGUCCAACUGAGCAGUGAACUGAUUGUGGGAACAUGCUUAGUAGCCCUGUGAUUUAAGGCAGAUGGAAGACUCAUCACUUUAGCAUUUUUCAGGAUGGCUUGUAAAUUUCCUCUGGCAAUCACUCAAGUGGAUGUGUCUGAAAAAAAUGGGCAUUUAUGUCACUUAAGAGAUUUUAAGGAAGUCUACCAACAUGGUGAUAAUCAACAGGAGCAUGCUAGUUAGGGUACCCAGAUCAUUCAGAUCUGGGCCAUGCAAACUGCCUUCCCCAUGAAAAGUCUGUUUUAAAGAGGCACAUUAGAAACUUGUUGAUAAAAAGAGCACUGAACUUUCUUAUGGUACAAAUGGUUGAUGGUUAUUCAAUCUCACUAAUACUGUGCCAGAUCAACUAGGAGUGAAUUUGGACUGAGACAAAUACUGCGUUUUAUGCAAAGGGACUUUUUGGUAUGACACAUUGCAGGAGUUGCUCUAGAAGGAUGAAGAGGACUCUUUUUCACUUUCACUGUGAUGAACAUCCUACAUUUUGUAGGACCAGAUUUGCAUAGUACAGAGGUGAAAUAUGUUAUCACACUUUUUUUUGGCUUCUUGUUGCCAUAAAGUGAGAUGCCUCACAAACUGAAACUAUUUUUGCUAGAAGAGUCAGCUGAAUAUGUGAAGGUGCUUUUUCUAAUCCCUUGUCAGAAAUUUGAUAGAUGGACAGUAAUGCACUGGCAGGAAUCCUUGGUAAUUCAUAUAAAGGACUAAAACCCUCUAGUAUAUUCGGUAAUGUUAGGACUUGCAAUGUUUCAUAAUAAUGCUUCACAAUAUUUAGAAUGGUUGCCUACACACAGUAUGUACUGUACAAGUUAUUUCCAAUAUCAAAACUAGAAUUCUUGGCAAAAUCUGAAAUGUAAAAUUCAUAUAUUUUUAAAGCAAGAAGGAACUGUUAGAUCAUUUAUUUUAAUAGACACCAAAUGGGACACUGGUGUUCUCUACUUUUUUUUUUGUAGAGUUUAUUUUGUACUUAAAUAUUCUAGAAGUUUAGAAGGGCAAAAAGAUAAAUGAUCAUGAGUUGAUGUUCUUCAUAAAGCAGUACAGCAAUCUUUUGCUUGAAGGGAUACUGCUAACAUUUAAGCCCGUCUGUAGCUGUGAAUGGAUGCGAAUUUAUGUUGACUGUAAAUAAAUGUUAGCAGAAUAAUGACUUACUGAGACAGCUUUAUAUUAUACAGUAAAUUAUUGCACAUGUAAGUUGUCUGAUGAAGCAGCUAAAACAGGUGCAACACAAAACCACAUCCUUAAGAAAACUCAAAAUUAUUAAUAUUUUAAUUACUAAAUUCUACUGUUAUUUUUAUUGCUUUUCUAUUGGAACAUAUUUAUGUUGGUUAUAUUUGUCUAAUUGCUAUGCAAAUUUAGGAAGAUAAGUUUCAAAUGGAGGCAUGUGUCAGAAUAGAAGUUAGAUAUAUUGCACAACGGUGUACAGAGAUGACAGUGGAAAUUUUGCUUCUCUAUAAAAACCGCAUUAUCUAUCCCAUGUGAUGUGAUGAAGCGUGCUGCAGAAAGUAUCUUAUCUGCUGCAAGAACUAAUCAAAAUUUCUGUUUUCCCUAACUUAAAAUUAAUCUAGUUUCAGUGUCAUUAUUAUGUGCUAAGUUACAAGUUAAUACCAGCUCUCAAUCCCCUACACUCCUUCCUGUUUUAAAAUCAAAGCUACUGAAGUGAGAUCAGACUGUGCUUUCUGCAAACAUAUGUUGCUUUUGUUGGUCCUGCUAUAUUUAGUAGAAAACUAAAACCCUCACUUUAAUUCUGGCAGUUGGUUGAUCCUGAUCUUACAUUACAGUGUCUGAUAAUUUCACUAGUGUUAGCAUGCUUGCCAUGUAGUGGGAGGAUGAGAAUCUAUCCAUAUCUGUUGUUAUUUUACUCCUGAGAAGAUAAGGUGCCUAAUAAAUGCCUGCAACAAACCUUUAUUCUCAGAAGUGUUAUAGUGCUCUAAAUGGACAAUCUAUUCAAUGCAGGGUAUGCGCUGGAAUUUAUGAACAGCAAUGUAAGUUAGGAUAUAAGAGACUCUGGUCUGUUUCCAGCUAUGUUGAUGGUUAAGUAAAAUAUAGAUCUUUUUCCCUCCACCAUAAACUGCAAACACAGCUGCAUAAUAUACACAGUCAAAUGCCAAGGACCUAAUAAGAUUUUGCUUUCCAGAAAUAUAAAUAAUUUAAUCAGAUUAAUGACAUUGUUCUACCUGAGGGAUUCUAUAAUUAGUAGAUUAUUGAAGCAGCACACAAGUUAUCUACCAUUAGCACCUGGAGGAAUUCCUGUUGUCUUAAAAAGUGGAAUCAAAUUAUAUGAAUAUUCCUGUCAUGCAAUCUGUAAAGAUAAUAAGCCUCUGGCAUUUUGUAAGCUAUAUAAAUCCAUGGAUUUCACAUUAAAUAUUUAAAGCACGGGAGGUGUUAUUUGUCAGAAUACUGAUAAAAAUAGUUCAGCCAUUACAGCUGCCUUUUCCAUUUGGUAAAUCCCUCUUUGUUUGAUUUGCUUUCAAGCCUUCUUAAUUUGUUGGGGUUUUUUUGGUUGUUUAGGUUUUUCAGUUGUGUUUGUUUGGCGGUUUUGUGUUGUUUUUGAUUUCUUUUUUCUUUUUUCUUUUUUUUUUUUUCCUAUUUUUGGGUUUUACUGGUUGGUGGUUGUUGUUGUUUGUUUGUUUGUUUUUUUUUUUGUUACAUUUUUCCAGUUCCUCUGGAGGUGUGUUUUGGACUUUGCAUGAUAAACACUCAAAAUAUUUUUACAGACAUUUUGCCCUUUUGAUACAGAGAACAUAUUCAAACCAGGGGUAUAAAGAGAUAUGAAGCAGGAAGAUCUUUUUUGAACACCAAAGAAAUGUUGCUUGAAAUACAUUAAAAAGGCUGCCUUUCUUCUGAAUCUAUUUACAAAGCAGGAGCUUAUUCUUUGAUGUGUGCUCCAUUCUAAGAGUUUGUUUGGGACAAUACUGAGGAUGGAACUCAUCAAGGUCAAAUAUACAUUUACAUAUCAUAAUGAGGGUGUUGAAUAAUUCUUGAAUAAUAGAGGCCAUGGGGAAGAUGGCUAGUAUCUUAAUAGACUGUAGAAUUUAACAGAGGAUUUUAAAGAUGAUAAAAAUAUGAUGACUAUUUGAAAGUGACCUCUUAACAAUUUCAGUCAUCUGACAAUUUAAAGUGAAAAACUUUGUUGGUAAAAGUCUCUGUUUUUAAUGGAUUGCCAUGUCAGUCUGGAGCUGCAGUCAGGAUAACUGAUGACCUUUGAAGUCCUUAGAAUAAAUUAUGAUUUGUGUGCAAGAGAUGAUAAUACAGUUAAAAAGAUUUAUGUAAUAGUUCUUCAAAGAGCUCAAGGAAUUAACAGGGGUCAUAAAUUAGUAGGAUUUACAAGUAAGAAAUUACUUUACUGGGAGAGCCUUUUUCAUCCCAUAUGGUUUUGCUUCCAGGCACUUGCUGAUGUUUAAAUGAAGAGAUACCUGAUGAACCCUCCAGGCAGCUGUGAAAUUACAGGGGCUCCUGUGUUGUUAACAAUCCAUCCAGCUUUAAUAACAGCCAGGUACUUUCCCUGUAUAGAAGUGAGCUUGUAGGACACAUGUCAUAACCUUGUCAUGAAGUAUUUUUAGACCUCAGGCUAAAUCACAAGAUAAAAACUACUUUUACCCUUCUUUGCUUUAUGGGUAGCCUAAGUAAAUCCUUUCUAGCUGUUCUAAAGUGUAUUAGCACUCCACAGGACUCAUCCCUAGAUAUUUCUUCAGUCUGCAAAAAAAGUUUUAACAGUGCUGUUCAGGAGAUGCCUGACACCUUUGCAACAAGUGCUUGAUCAUUUUUGGUAUUGACACUACUGAUAGUAGAUUUUUUCAGUAUUUAACUAGCAAGAUAUAGACCUUCAAGGACAGGAAAGAAAGGGACUUCAGCAAUGGUAUCGGAGCAGUAUUGCUUAUUUGGUGAGAAGAAUUACAACCAUAUCCUCAGCACAGUCUCACAAAAAAAGAAAAAAAUUAAAGAAGGAAUGCGUCUUUCCCUUCUGCCCCUCACACCCAAAAUUUUAGCUGGAAACCUCUCUGCAAUCAUUUCGCAGCUUCUUUCAUGGAGGAAACUUAGAGUAUGCGCUGAUUUUCUAGUAAGCCACAUGAAAGCCUAAAGCUUUCUGAAAUCUGAGAAGUAUGUUUUAGGGUUUUUUAGCAAACAAGAGAAAAAGCCAUUAUUUGAUUUAUAUGCCCCAUCAAUUUUAUUUUCUAACAUAUUUCAAAACAAUAAUAUUUUGCACAACCCUAUCUAUUACUCUCCUGCCUAAGGGGCUACAAUAGAAACUACUAUAAUCUCCAAAACAAACUUAUUUCACCUUUUCAUGCAUUUAAAAAUUAUUUGUAAAGAAAAUGGAGUGAAAAACAUCAACUUUUGCUUUCAUAAGCAGUCAUUUAUCUCACCUGGGUCAUCAGAAUGUUUAAUGCAAACAUGGAAAAGUGUGGAGACCAUGACUCCUGAUGAUUUUGGAUGCUGAAAAUAUACAAUUUGUUUCUUGCUACAAAGCCUGAAAUUUUGCAUCUAGAAAAAUAAAAACUGAAGGCUGAUUUAAAGGAAUAUAUGUAUCUCAUUAAAACUUAUUUCAAACCUGAUACAGAGAGGAUGAAGUCUGGGAAAAUGUCAGGUAUUUAAUCAGGGCAAAUUAGACAACACUAUUUUAUCAGUGCUUUUCAUUGUAAUUGAAUAAGCUUUGGAGGCAUCAGUGCAAUGGGCUCUGAUUAUCAAUCUUGGUUCAUUCCUCCACCAUUAGGGUCUAUUUUCUGACUGGUUAGAUAAGCCACUCUUUUUCCAUCUACAGCUUGCAUGCAACUACUGAUUUUGUUUUCCUCCAGUUAUCCAAAGACUGUGAUAAGGUAGUUCAUGCUGUUCUCCUACUUUGAUUUCUAAAAUUUCUAAUUCUCAUUUAAGACUUUUCAGACUUUAUAGGAGAAAGUGAAUUAAUUAUGAUGCUGAGGCUCUUUGUCUGUGUCUGCACACAAGGUUAUAUUUACACUUGGUCUUUUUUUCCUAAAUUUUGUCUGAGCAAGUAUGACAGUCUUGUUAUUGAAAAAGGCACCAGAUUGCCAUCUGACAUUAUGGGACUAUCUGUUUUUAUAGCAACAAGUUUUUUGAUAAAACUAUCCUCAAAAGUAAUUGUGUACCUGUAACUUUUCUGUGCUCCAAUCUCCAGUUAUCUAGGGAUCCUAUUUCUUGUCAGUAGUGGAUGAUCUCACUUACCCUGCCAAAGACACAAGGGUACAGCACCACAUGCAUGUGAUAUGUGUAAUGAGCUAUGCUGUCAAGCUGAUUCAGGGCUGUGGGGGCAAGUAAAUUGUGAUGCCACUUUCAGAAAUUAGCUUGUACCCCAUCACUUAGCUGUGAUACAAUAGUUUGCAAUUUAUUUGAGUUUGGACUGCUGGCUUUGGCCUGAGCUUGGUGCUGGCUGGAGUCUGUUAGAAAUUGUUGGGUGAGAGAGGGCUGAUGCUUUUCAGCAGCACAGUCACAUGUGUGGCCAUCCCAUGUAGUUAGUUGCUGGGCAUUAAAGUGGUGUCUGUAUUUUCUCCUCAGCUGUUGAACGGUUGAAGCCUAGUGUUGAUCCAAGUCCCUGGCAUCUGUUCCUGACCUUUGACUUGUAUCUUGGCUCUGGCUCACAACCCUUGGAUCAUAUCCUGGCUCUGGAUUCUGCCUCUUGGCAGCUUGUUUGGUUCCUGUCUGGCUUCAGCCUUGGCUUGUAUUCUGGUCCUGGCUCCAGACCCUGAACUGUUAGACUGUACAUCUGAGUUCAAGAAACACUUCUUCAGUCCUACUUCAUGGCACGCCACAUUACCUGGAGUACGAGAACACUUCUCCUGCAAGCGUGUGACUUCAGUAAUAUCCCUGUGUCUCAUCCUAUGUAGGUACUGACUAUCCUAAUUUUUGUGUAUAUGUACUAUUGCAGUGCUUGAUCUAGAGAGAAAUGACAGAUGCUUGACCUUAACAAAAGACAAGCCGUUUGGAAGCCAUUAAAAUUUGUUUAUGAGAGUGAUGCAGAUGAAUACACUCUUUCACACUAACUGAUAUGAAGGUAAACAGAAAACCUUUUCAGAAAGAAGAAGAACUUAUGCUGAUGUGGUUAGAAACAAGAUAUUCACUGUAUAAGGAAAAUUUUGAUCUUUAAAGAACCUCAGCAAGGUAAGCUGGCUUCUACCCAUUUAAAUCUGGGUCUGAGUAUGUUCAGUUUUUUGGGGCACUAUAUUUUACUCUCUUUGUUGUCCUGCCUGAGACAAAGACAUUAUGUUAUCUCAUUUUGAUUCUGUUAAUCCAUGACAGACAGAUUUACUUUAACUGGUCCUUCUCCCAGCUGCAGUUUUCUAGACACUGCCAGCUGCAGUUCACCUGCCUGGGGAAAUGUGACGUAUCCCAGUAGAACAAAUAUUUAUUACAUUAUGUAGCUCCAAAGAACCAUAAAAAAAAAACCACCUCUUGUUAAAGCUUUAGUCUUCAUGAUAU